CGAACAUAUCAUAUUGAAACACCGGUUACCGUACGAUCACCAAAGUUAAGCAACGUCGAGCCUAGUCAGUACCUAGAUCGGUGACCGUUUGGGAAUACCAAGGGCUGUAAG